AAAUUUUUCAAGUUUUAUCCUCAUUUAGAGCGCUGUUAUCUCUUACAGUGAGCAUAGCUAAAAUUGAUAUCAAUAAGUAUUUUAUUUGCUUACCCGGGUAGAUAGAUAACACCAGGAAGUGUUCUCUCUAAUUUUUCAAGACUAGUUUUUGUGAGGUAUGGAGUAACGUUUUAAUUAUAUUCUUCAUUGAAUUCGAAAAAUGAAAGGCUCUUGUAAAAUUUCGUUUUUACUUUCAUUUAUCGUUUUAACAGCAGUUGGCACUUUAUCUACAGACUGGCAUUUCAGCGGGCAAAACAUAGCUUUCAAUAAAUCAGCUGUUCAAAGCCCUGGCACAUUUGAAAAUAAAUCAGCAAGUUUAGCAGUUGACGGUAUUGAAAAGGGUGAGUUUACAGAUGGCAGUUGUAGUCACACCACGGGCGUUAGUUAUUCUGAUAAUAACAAUGGAAUUGCUCAAUGGAAAGUUUAUCUUGGCAGCUCGUUUAAUGUCACUGGUAUUAUCAUUGUUAACA